rnacentral:rRNA from 1 species
UACGGGGGGGGCAAGCGUUGUUCGGAAUUACUGGGCGUAAAGGGCUCGUAGGCGGCCAACUAAGUCGGAUGUGAAAUCCCCAGGCUUAACCUGGGAACUGCAUCCGAUACUGGAUGGCUUGAAUUCGGGAGAGGGAUGCAGAAUUCCAGGUGUAGCGGUGAAAUGCGCAGAUAUCAGGAGGAACACCGGUGGCGAAGGCGGGUCUCUGGGCCGAUACUGACGCUGAGGAGCGAAAGCGUGGGGAGCGAACAGG